rnacentral:tRNA from 1 species
GGGGUUGUGGCUCAGUGGUAGAGCACUCACCUAGCAUGUGCAAGGCCCUGGGUUCGAUCCUCAGCACCACA